CCGCGGUACCCUGACCGUGCAAAGGUAGCACAAUAAAUCGCCCCCUAAUUAGGGGCAUGUAUCAACGGCGACACGAAAGUGGGGCUGUCUCGGGGGUGUUAUAUUGAAACUGACUUACGGGUGAACGGGCCCGUAUACAGCCAACAGACGACAAGACCCCGUCGAACUUUAGAGAAAAAGCUGUAUCUCUAAAAGUAUAAGCCCCCUCUCUUUGGUUGGGGCAACCAAGGACCAAACAAACCGUCCUUUCUUCAAGAAUCCAACAAACAAAAAAAUGAGUGUAAGACACUUAUAGAGGGCCCCUAACCCUCGGAUACCUUCAAUAAAGUAGCAUUAAAGCUCGACUAAUAAUUACUGCUCGCCUAAAACAACAGGCCCACAGGCCUGUCUUUGUCUUAAGAUCUUCAAUAGAUCUGGGGGACACUCCCUGUCUUAGGGGAAAAGUUACCGCGGGGGUAACAGCGCGAUUCUUCNUACCAGAACAC
rnacentral:rRNA from 1 species